rnacentral:rRNA from 1 species
GACAGAGGGUGCAAACGUUGUUCGGAAUUACUGGGCGUAAAGCGCGUGUAGGCGGCCAUCUAAGUCGGGCGUGAAAUCCCACGGCUCAACCGUGGAAGUGCACUCGAAACUGGAUGGCUAGAGUCCUGGAGAGGAAGGUGGAAUGCUUGGUGUAGAGGUGAAAUUCGUAGAUAUCAAGCGGAACACCGGUGGCGAAGGCGGCCUCUGGACAGUGACUGACGCUGAGACGCGAAAAGCGUGGGGGAGCAAACAGG